GAGCGACCGCCGCCACUUCCACGGUGAGAUUCCGACUGGUUUUCUCUCUCACAUGGUCGACCAUUGAAUGUGGCUGAGCUGGGUGCAGUUGGAUACCCCGCUGAUCCAAUCAGCGGCCGCCACCUCUCUCUCUCUCUCUCUCUCUCUCUCUCUACUAUAUAUAUAUAUAUAUAUAUANNNNNNNNNNNNNNNNNNNNUCCUCUCUCUCUCUCUCUCUCUCUCUACUAUAUAUAUAUAUAUAUAUAUAUAUAUCCCCGACUAGGAGUCCGCAGGUAACAUUCGGAGUACUCGACGGUCGCUGCUUGAAAUGUGUGCUCUUUUUUUUAAAGCGUUUACGGUGCCGUCGGGACUCAUCACCUUUAUGGGCUUUCCGGUCUUGCCUUUGACCAACCCCCACCUCUCUCUCUGGCCUCUUUUGUCAUAGUUUGAAUGAUACCCCCUCUUGCAGACCGUCUUCAAAUCAAUAAAGAAUUAAAAAAAUGAUAUUUUUAUCAGUGGGGGUGAGACAAGCACUGAUCUCCUCUUCUUAUGAAGGUUGAAGGGACGGCCGACUGACUGCAAAUGGCAGGUAUAUUAUGGGGUAGAUCUUGAUGAAUAACCCGGGUGGGAUUUCCUAAACCCCAUGUUGGAAAAAGUUAAUUUCUAGUGAAAGCUCGAGCCCUUUUGGUGAAUCCUGAAGAACACACCCCUUUUUGUACAGAACCCACGUAGAUUCCGAGCCAUAUUUGGUAAAAUAUGCAAUCCUGCUUAGGAGGAAGAUGAAUCAGGCCGAAGAAAUCCAACUAAAAAUCUGGUAGAGAUCGUGAGAGAUGUUCCUUGCCGAAGCAGGAGCUCCUCAGUCUGCUCAUGUGUUUCAGCACUGCCUUGUAUUCUUCUGAGCUCCCUGUUCUUCCACCUCUGUAUCGAUCUUGCAGUUGGACUGGUCUCCGGCUCGGAUGCCGGCGCAGGGCCCAGCCCUGUUGAGGAAGCAAUAAAAAUGGAGAUGCUCAGGUCAUGGAGCAGCGCGACCAGUCAAACCCUAGUUCGUCCCCCUCCCCCCCUGUUUAAAUACGCUUAUUUCAAAUGAUGCCGCCAU
rnacentral:lncRNA from 1 species